GGGAACGAAGGAAAGGAUGAAGAGGGAACAACCAAAAGGAAUGGGAGGGACGAAAGAGGAGACAUGUUUGGCACAAGCCGUCUUCUUUCUCCCCUCUUCUUCUUCAAACUCCCUUCUCGUCCUCUUUUCUUUUUACUUUCUCCUCC
rnacentral:ribozyme from 14 species